rnacentral:ncRNA from 1 species
GGAAGUUUGAUUCUGGCUUUAUUAUUAAUUGUUUUAAUUUAAUUAUAUGUUAAAAUUUUAAUUAUUAUUUAUACAGUAAUUUGUUUUACAAACAUUUUUAUUUUUAUCUUGAAAUUUAAUAAAAUUGGAUUAAGUUUUGUGCCAGCAUUCGCGGUUAUACAAAUUUUUUAAGUUAAUAUUUUUGGUUAAUUGUAUUUAAUUUAUUAAUGGUUUAUAUUUUAUUUUUAUUUAGGUGGAAUUUAUAUUAAUAAUUAAUAUCUAUAUUAAUAUUAUAUUAAGUUUUAUAUAUAAACUAGGAUUAGAUACCCUAUUAUUUUUUUAUUUAAAUUUUUCCAGAAUAUUAAUAGCUAAGUUCUAUAAAACUCAAAGAAUUUGGCGGUAAUUUAUCUUUUUAGAGGAACCUGUAUUUUAAUUGAUAUACCACAAUAAUUUAUACCUUAAUUUUAUUUGUAUAUCGCUAUAUAUUGGAGUGUUUUUAAAGAAAUUUUCUAUUAUAUUAAUAUUUUAUAUUAGGUCAAGGUGCAGUUUUAUUAAGGUAAAUAUGGGUUACAUUAUUUAUAAUUUUAUUGGAAAAUUUCUUAUAGUUAUUUUAAAAUAGGAUUUAUUAGUAAUUAUAAUAUAUUAAUUAUUUUGAAUUUAGCACUAAAUUAUGUACAUAUCGCCCGUCACUCUCAAUGAUAUGAGAUAAGUCGUAACAAAGUAGUUUUACCGGAAGGUGAAUCUAGAAUGU